rnacentral:rRNA from 1 species
AAACUGAAGAGUUUGAUCCUGGCUCAGAUUGAACGCUGGCGGCAUGCCUAACACAUGCAAGUCGAACGGAAACGAUGGGAGCUUGCUCCC